rnacentral:pre_miRNA from 2 species
CCUCCAUCAGCGGAUGAUUGCUGGUAGUUUUAUACAAAUAUCAGCAGUUGUACCACUGAUGUGU